GUGUUGGUUGUGUUUUCCCGGCGGAGAAUUUGUUCUUACGAGUGUGUGUUCGGCAAUAAAAAAUACUGUACAUGAAAAACCGUUGGUUCAAAAUCGCUCAAAAUAGUUCGGGAUUUACGGGUUUUCAUGUGGUUUUGUUUGUCUAGUGAAACAGUGAUUAAUUCGAGAUAUAAACAGCAACCGUGAAUGCGACCGGAGUGAUCGCGAAAAUUACUCUUUCGCCGCCGAAUAAUGUCGCUGCAGCGCGACACUGUAAUUCAUCUAGUUGCUGGAGGAGUGGCUGGAACAGUUGGUGCCAUCAUAACUUGUCCCCUUGAAGUUGUCAAAACACGACUGCAAUCUUCUACUUCUGGUUUUUAUCCCCCUGGCAACAAGGAGUUUAUUUCCGGUCAUGCCACUUGCAAAACCUUUCCGAAUCCACCACAGAGGCGAUUAUGCACUGGCGAGAAUCCAAGGUACUCCAUGGCUUUUUCUCAUUAUGGGACAGCAGGAGGUUCACCACACACGCAGGCACCCCCUAAUCUCAUCCAGUGUUUAAAGUAUAUCGUGGAAAAUGAAGGCUUUCGGGCCUUAUUCAAGGGACUAGGUCCCAACCUCGUCGGUGUCGCGCCUUCCAGGGCGAUUUACUUUUGCACCUAUUCCCAGAGCAAAGGUUUCUUCAACUCAUGUCUACCGCCGGACAGUCCCGUCGUCCAUGUCUGUUCAGCAUCAUGCGCUGGAUGGCCUAUAAAGAUGCAGUUCGAAAAUACACCCGAGAUGAGAUUCCGGUUCUUUGCUCUCGUAAAACAAUCACAAAUGGGGUCUUGGAAAAAAUCCACAUGUUCAGAGUCACGUAGGCACCAUGAGAAAAACUGGUUAUUUGCAACAACAACAAAAUAUGAAAUUUUGUUCUAAAACUGAUCUGGUACUUCUUAGAAUCAAGAUUGAAUCCAAUUUCAUCUCACUCAUUGGAUAGUCUGCAGUUUUUUCGAAGGCUCAAGCAAUUCGGAUAAUUUCCUUUGAAAUUCGCGACCUACGUUGACACUUAAUUGUCAAGGUCGAUUGGUAUUUUCGCUUAUAUAGGCGACCUAAAAAUAGUUGGUGGCAAUUGCUGGGAAUUAUUACGCAUGUUCAAACAGCAAGGCGGGCGAUAAAACUGAACCCCACCGGAAAUAAAUUAUUGACUGACAACUAGGCAACUUUGAAUUAUCAAUAUAAAGGAUAUUUAAUUUGGAUAGAUUGUGCACAAUUGACAAUUCUUCCGUGGAAAUUCUUAACACGUGGUUGCCAUGAAGUCGCGCACGUUCAUACACCUGCGCCUUUUUCUACGCUAUAUACCUAUAUAUAGGUGUUUACAAUAGUAACUGAAAGUGGAACUGUGAUAAUGCCAAAUGCCGAGUUAAUUGCGCCUGAUAUAGCGACGUUUUCGAUAUGCGUGCCACGAUCUUGAUGAGGACUUUUCCAGAUUUUCCUGGAGAACAAAAUUAAUUUUUCUACGUAACCUGAGUUUAAGAAAUCUGGGUUUAAGACGUUCUUAGAAUGGAAGCCCUCUGUAUUUUGGUGAUGAUGGGACUGCGGGACCGAAAGAGAGGCGGUGCUCAGUCAUGCCUGACCAACAGCAGCGUAACGAUAGGCCCUGAAUGUUUACGUUUGGAUUCCCUGGAUUUAUGAUCAAGGCCACUGCAAGCCAUAGCAGAAACUGUACUUCAAGCUAAAUUUUAGUAUGCUAGAAAUUGCAGGUCUAGUGAAACUAAAAAAAAAGUGUUACAUGAGGAAUUUCUUAUCCACCUGCAAAUUCUGA